UUUUUCAAGUCCCAUUCAGCCAUCGACUCCCGAAACAUACCAAACACCGAACACUAAAUUGAUCUCAUUCUCACCAUCACCGUUUCACAAUCCAUUGAUCGGCGACCAAAGCUUCGCGAUUUACGGUCCAUUGACCAACGAUUGCCUAGCCCUCCGACCAAGCGUCUUUCCUUCUGUCCUCAAACUCAAGGCUUCAUAGGAUUUGUCAUCAGUCCUCACCAAUCGAUCUCAUUCCCUUUAUCCUCAUCCCGCAGCUUCUAGUUAUUUGAAGUAGAAAGAAUGAAGGACUAUGACUUGGGGGAUAUGAUUUAAAAAUGAGAGGAUGAAAGGUUUCUUUUGGAUGGGGGAAUAAACAAGAAUUAUAUUCUCUAAUAUUAUCCGAUGGACAAAUCAUGGAUGACGAAGAAUAAAUUAUCUAUAGAAUAUGAGUUGAGUUGAAACAUUCAUUGAAUUUGAGUUGCAUCAUGGUAAUGGUUCCAAUUUGAUUCAAUGUCCAUGUUUAAAAUGUGAGAAUUGUAUAUCUAAGGAUGUUUCAAUAGUUAGGGAUCGCUUGCAUGUCAAUGGAAUGGAACAAAGUUAUAAGAUAUAAUUUUGGCAUGGGAAAGAUUUGACCACAGAGAAAGUUAACAAUAAUUCGGAGCAUGAGUUAAAUGAGAAUUAUGAAGAUAAUGACGAUUUAUAUAAUGUAAUUGACAUGGUUCAAACUGCUCAAGAUCAAUUUUCAAAUGCACCCAAUAUGUUUGACACUACGUUCGACGAUGCUAAGAAGCUAUUAUACCUGAAAUGUAAAAAAUUCAAAAAGUUGUCAGCCCUCGUGAGAUUGUACAACUUAAAGGUAAGUUAGAUUUGGAUGGAGUGAUUGAAGUUUUUCGGAACUUUUAUCUACAAUAAUUGAAAUCCUACUUGAGAAGAAUGAACUGCCAAUCUCUAUGUAUGAAGCGAAGAAAACACUAAAUGCCCUAGGUUUGAAUUACCAAAAAAUAGAUGCAUGUCCAAAUGAUUAUUGCUUAUAUAGAAUUGAGCUUGAAAAAGUAACCAAAUGUCCUACUUGUAAUUUAUUGAGAUGGAAGGUAGUCAAGAACUUAAUAGUAGAGAAGAAAGGAGUGGCUGCUAAUGUUAAGUCGUUGUGGUACUUUCCAAUAGUUCCAAAAUUUAUAAGGAUGUUCAAAAGCGUUGAAUAUGCAAAGAAUUUGUGUUGGCAUGCAACUAAUAGGAAAGUUGAUGAUAUUAUGUGAACCCAACUGAUUCUCCAUCUUGAAGGUUAAUAGAUUACUUGUGGCCAACAUUUGGUUCAGAACCAAGAAAUCUUUGUUUGGGUUUAUCUAUUGAUGGAGUCAACCCAUAUGAGGAUUUGAGUACUAAAUAGAGUUGUUAGCCAGUGAUUACUAUAGUGUACAACCUCCUACAAAGGUUGUGCAUGAGGAGAAAGUUUUUAAUGUUAUCAAUGUUGAUAUCAAAACCAAAACAAUCAGGAUAUGAUAUUAAUAUUUAUCUAGCUUCGUUGGUUGAUGACUUGAAACUUUUAAGGGAAGUUGGAAUUGAAUGUAUUGAUGCGUAUUGGGAGGAAUCAUUCACUUUGCGAGUUGUCUUAUUGUGGACUGAUAGCUUCUAGCAAUACAAGCUAUUGCAACCUUUUACUUAGAAUUAUAAGGGUUGAUGAGCAGAACAUGCGUUGAUAUUGCUAAGAGUUCAUGUGAAAUAAUGAAAUUGCGUUGAUCUGCUCUAAAAAUCCCCGUUAACCCUAUAUCAUGCGUUAUCUUGCAUAAAAUGUCUAUUUUGUAGUUGUCACAGGAAUCGAUCACAUGCAUUGAUCCCAAACCAUCGCAAAGUUGAUCGCACACAUUGAUAUUAAUGAAAAAAAGUUGAUCGUAUGCACUGUCGCAACUACAGAAUGAUAGCCAUGAUAGAAGGAUGAUCGCAAAGAUUGAGUGGAAUACAUUGAUCCUUCAGAAGAAACGAUCAUGAACACAUACCUUGGGAGUUAUCAAAGAGAUAAGAUCAUGAUGACAUUCUCACCUACUGCGUCAGUAAUGGUAGUGAUUCAGAGCAGGAUUAUCAAAGUUGUCGGCAUUUGGCUCUAUAAAUAGAGCAUUAGAGACCAAGUUCAAGAAAUCUGGGACUUCUGCCUUGGACAAAUUCCUUUGAUCACAGACGAGAGCAUGAGCAGAAAUUCUUUGAGAGUUCUUCAUUUACACAACUUCCCCCGAUUGAUGACCAGAACGUCGUCGGAGAUAGAUCUCGAGAGAGACUACUCCACCGCUCAUCUAUUGCACCACCGAUAGCCUUGACACACAUCUGAUAGAAGCAAGAGAUUGCCUACAUCUAGCUUUCCACCUCUCUUCUCACCUUUGUAUGGUAUUACA